UACGUAGGGUGCGAGCGUUAAUCGGAAUUACUGGGCGUAAAGCGUGCGCAGGCGGUUUUGUAAGCCAGAUGUGAAAUCCCCGGGCUUAACCUGGGAAUGGCAUUUGGGACUGCAAGGCUUGAGUGCGGCAGAGGAGACUGGAAUUCCCGGUGUAGCAGUGAAAUGCGUAGAUAUUGGGAGGAACACCGGUGGCGAAGGCGGCCACCUGGCCCGGCACUGACGCUGAGGCGCGAAAGCGUGGGGAGCAAACAGG
rnacentral:rRNA from 1 species